UGCUGCAGUUAAUCUAUGAGAAGCUACCAGUUGACAUUUCAAGCCGCAAUGUGUUAUUGCUCGACCCAGUUUUGGCUUCAAGUAAAAUAAAUUCCAAACAUACUGUAAUUCUUCCAAAUAUGUUUUCAUAAUACAUAUCCAGUGUCUAAAAAUUCUUCAUUAUUAGGAAAUUCUGCAAUCAAAGCUACUUCUUUGCUGCUGAGCAAGGGUGUAGCAGAAUCCAACAUAAUCUUCCUUAAUCUCAUAGCAGUGAGUGAUUUUGAUGUUUAAUUGUUUUCUCUCCAGACAAUUUUAAGUUCUACAGAAUUAUUAAUAGUUUAUAUUUCAUUUUUGAAAAUUUUGAAAUUACGACGCAGGCUCCUGAAGGAAGACAUGCUGUUUGUAAGAAAUUCCCAAAGCUAAAAAUUGUGACAUGGGAGAUUGACAUGUCACUGAACAAGGAUUCACAUGUGAUCCCAGGCAUGGAGGAGUUUGAAGAUCGCUACUUUAGUACGGAUAACAAUGUUAAUCAAGCCCUUGACAAAACACCCUAGCAAGUGUUUUGUCAUGUUUUGUUACGUGACAAAAUAACACCUAUUCCUAUUAAGUCAAAAUUCCCAAAUCAAAUCACCAAUAAACAGAAGGUUCAUAACAUAAAUUUAGAAAAUACAAAACUAAGGCCUGGUUACACUAAAAGCUGUGUUACUGAAUUAAAGAACAGAGAUCUUUAUUUUCACACAUUAAUGAUAAAUAGAAGUGCAUUUCAUGAGCCCAAUGGAAUAAUGUGGGAACAGAAGCAGACAGUAACAAUGAUAACAACAAAAGAAAAUUAUAGACAAUUCUAUGCUUUCGUGUUCACCUAAAGGAGUUUUUGUACUUAGAACUUGGCAAGAGAAACCCCAUAAAGCACAAUCAAAAACCAAGUACAGUACCAACACUAACAUAAAUAUUAAUUCAAAGCAAAUCAAUAAAAAUUUGAUGUGUAUAAUAUGGGGAACAAAAAUACUAAAAGUCUACAUUGCACGAUACCAUUGACGUUGAGCUGAGAAUAUUGCAUUCAUGAUUGCAACAUAUCUGUGAGGAAGAAAACAUGUAAGAGCAAAACAUCAUCAAGAAGAAACUGUAGUUAUUGCAAAAAGAUGAGCAUAAAACAUACUGUCCAGUCCAUCAGUGGAUCCAUGCAAACACUAUAUCUGCCAUCAUAUCAGAAACUUCAUUAGAGAAUAUAUUCGAGGUAACAGAGAGCCAAUAAUGAAUAGAGUGUUGCAACAUCUACAAAAAUAACACAUUCAAAGAGACAUGAAUCAAUCAAAUCUUACUUAUAUAGCUAUAUGCAUUGGGGCUGCUGUUGACAUGGUUAAAUUUUCUCGUCCAAUAUAAACAUGCUAUAUUUCCCCGAUACAGUCAUGAAAUCAAUAUGCGGAAAUUUUCCUAUCAAAACUUUCAAACAUAGAGG